UAAGCCCCCCUUUUGGGUUUUCAACUUAGUGAGUUGUUCUUUUAUUUUUUAGGCGAAGUAUUUCUUGACUGCAUCUGCGUUCACAAGACGAGUGAACUUUUCACCAUCCAUAGUUGUAAGAAUUAAUGCACCACCUGAAAAGGCUCUCUUAACAACAUAUGGGCCUUCAUGAUUAGGAGUCCAUUUUCCUCUAGAAUCUGGCCUGAAUGAUAAGAUCUUCUUGAGCACAAGGCCAC
rnacentral:lncRNA from 1 species